rnacentral:rRNA from 1 species
UCGGGAAUUUUGGGCAAUGGGCGAAAGCCUGACCCAGCAACGCCGCGUGAGGGAUGAAGUAUUUCGGUAUGUAAACCUCGAAAGAAUGGGAAGAAUAAAUGACGGUACCAUUUAUAAGCUCCGGCUAACUACGUGCCAGCAGCCGCGGUAAUACGUAGGGAGCAAGCGUUGUUCGGAUUUACUGGGCGUAAAGGGCGCGUAGGCGGCGCGGUAAGUCACUUGUGAAAUCUCUGAGCUUAACUCAGAACGGCCAAGUGAUACUGCUGUGCUAGAGUGCGGAAGAGGCAACCGGAAUUCUUGGUGUAGCGGUGAAAUGUGUAGAUAUCAAGAGGAACACCAGAGGCGAAGGCGGGUUGCUGGGCCGACACUGACGCUGAUGCGCGAAAGCCAGGGGAGCAAACG